rnacentral:lncRNA from 1 species
AUGGCAGCAUCCAGACAAGCAAAUUCCUCAUUAGAUCCUGCACCUUGUUUUUUGCCAGGCGAACAGUUGGGCUCCUGGCAGAUGGGAAGUCGACCUGAAAAUGAGCAUGGGACACACUCUGCCCACACCAGCGCUGCCAAGGACCAGCCCUGCUGUGCAGAAGGCAGGGAUGUCGUGUUAUGGUUCGGACAACAGAGCACCGCAGGAACGGUGACCCUGAUGGAUUUCACAUGUGUGGCAAGACCUGGUGGAGGCUCUGCCCUUUCACACGCUGGACUUCUCUACUGUGCAGUGUCAAAGGUUUGGCUUCCCAUCGCCCCGUUUCAUUUCUCACUGUUUGCUGAAGGACUUCGUGUCAUCCCUCCUCUUCCCUUCCAACUGGAGAGGACAAGCCACUUGCCUUUAUAGGUGGGGAUGAACCAUAACCCAGAGUCCCAAAUCAGCUGCGACUCCCAUGGCAACAUCCAAGAACCAAGCUAAUUUUACCAAUGUAAUUUCUGGGAAAAUAACAAGAUGAGCCACCAAAACCUCUCCUCAUCUCCUGGCAUCCUCCCAGGGUGACAGACCAUGGAGAAACUGCAUGUGGGGUUGAGGUCUGCUUUCCAGUAAGUCAGAACUAGAAAAGCAUCCUAAACUUUCCUUUGCCCUACUACAAGUAGUUCAUGUAAUUACUACAGUUCUGUGUUCAUUCCUCCUAACCAGCAGUGAACUUCCUGCACCUAAACAGCACCAAAGUGCCUAAAUCAUAUUGUUCAAGAAUCAAGAGCGUUUGUGAACCCAGAUCUCAUAGAUUUUCCUUACAAACCAUUACCCUAACAAUGUCCUUUUCUCCCAGCUAGCCCAUUCUCAUCUAAUUUACACUUUAUUCUCUCUCCAUUUACCCCCUUUCUGUUAUCUUUUAACCAAGGAUCGUUGCCCAAUUCUCAUUCUUACUCAUGCUUUAAGGGCUGGCGUUUGCUCUGCACGGAGGAACAGGAAGCUCUCAGUCCUCGUCCGCAUGUAGCUGGUGGCUGCCCUGUCCCCUACUGAGCCAAACCUGGCAUCUCCUGGCCAGCCAUCGCAUCAGCCUGCUCCUGCAGCCAUGGGGUCAAGCCUAUUUGUUGUGAACCUCAGAGUGAGGGAAAGAAAAUGGGUUUCUGAGGGAAACUGCUCAUGGAAAUCAGUUCCUAGUUUUGUCUAAAAAAAUAAAAGGUGAAAUGAAAGAAACUGUAGUGAAGUU